rnacentral:lncRNA from 1 species
CGGCUCUGGCCUACACAGAGGGGAACAACAGAUCUCAUCUCAAACAAGACCUUUCAUUUUCUGAGCCUGUUCUUCCCAGGAUCUGUUGCUGAUGACAAUACCAGGAGAGCAGAGUAAGUGCAUAUCCAUUGUGACUGGGCAGUGGCGAAUCUAAGAAGCGGUGCGACAGAGCUGUCAAACAAAGAAAGAACACAGAAGUCUGGAGAAGAGAAGUGGUGUCAGUGGAUGAGCAGAGAAUGAUGCCAUUGCACCCCUGCCAUUGUGUGUAGACCUUAG